rnacentral:tRNA from 1 species
GCCUUAGUGGUGUAAUGGUCAGCACACUCGGGAUGUAUUCAAGAGGUUCAGGGUUCGAGUCCCGGCGAGGGCU